GACGAACGCUGGCGGCGUGCUUAACACAUGCAAGUCGAACGGAAAGGCCCUGCUUUUGUGGGGUGCUCGAGUGGCGAACGGGUGAGUAACAAGUGAGUAACCUGCCCUUGACUUUGGGAUAACUUCAGGAAACUGGGGCUAAUAACGGAUAGGAGCUCCUGCUGCAGGGAGGGGGUUGGAAAGUUUCGGCGGUUGGGGAUGGACUCGCGGCUUAUCAGCUUGUUGGUGGGGUUGUGGCUUACCAAGGCUUUGACGGGUAGCCGGCCUGAGAGGGUGACCGGCCACAUUGGGACUGAGAUACGGCCCAGACUCCUACGGGAGGCAGCAGUGGGGAAUAUUGCACAAUGGGCGGAAGCCUGAUGCAGCAACGCCGCGUGCGGGAUGACGGCCUUCGGGUUGUAAACCGCUUUCGCCUGUGACGAAGCGUGAGUGACGGUAAUGGGUAAAGAAGCACCGGCUAACUACGUG
rnacentral:rRNA from 1 species